GAUGAAGAACGUAGCGAAAUGCGAUAAGUAAUGUGAAUUGCAGAGUUCAGUGAAUCAUCGAAUCUUUGAACGCACAUUGCGCCCGCCAGUAUUCUGGCGGGCAUGCCUGUCCGAGCGUCAUUGCUGCCCUCAAGCACGGCUUGUGUGUUGGGCCUCCGUCCUCCUCCCGGGGGACGGGCCCGAAAGGCAGCGGCGGCACCGCGUCCGGUCCUCGAGCGUAUGGGGCUUCGUCACCCGCUCUUGUAGGCCCGGCCGGCGCUUGCCGACACAUCAAUCUUUUUUCCAGGUUGACCUCGGAUCAGGUAGGGAUACCCGCUGAACUUAAGCAUAUCAAUAAGCGGAGGA
rnacentral:misc_RNA from 1 species